rnacentral:rRNA from 1 species
AGUGAACGCUGGCGGUAGGCCUAACACAUGCAAGUCGAACGGCAGCACAGUAAGAGCUUGCUCUUACGGGUGGCGAGUGGCGGACGGGUGAGGAAUACAUCGGAAUCUACUUUUUCGUGGGGGAUAACGUAGGGAAACUUACGCUAAUACCGCAUACGACCUACGGGUGAAAGCAGGGGAUCUUCGGACCUUGCGCGAUUGAAUGAGCCGAUGUCGGAUUAGCUAGUUGGCGGGGUAAAGGCCCACCAAGGCGACGAUCCGUAGCUGGUCUGAGAGGAUGAUCAGCCACACUGGAACUGAGACACGGUCCAGACUCCUACGGGAGGCAGCAGUGGGGAAUAUUGGACAAUGGGCGAAAGCCUGAUCCAGCCAUACCGCGUGGGUGAAGAAGGCCUUCGGGUUGGAAAGCCCUUUUGUUGGGAAAGAAAAGCAGCAGGUUAAUACCCCGCUGUUCUGACGGUACCCAAAGAAUAAGCACCGGCUAACUUCGUG